rnacentral:lncRNA from 1 species
CCGUUUGGCUUUCUUUGGUUUUAAACCAACUCCUCUUUAGCAUUCAUUUUUACGCUACUUUUCUUUUCAGGUCGCAUUGUACUAUAGAGCCAGAUUGUCAACUGCGAUAAACUAGCAUAACUACACUGAAGGCAAGGAAACUUCCGGUUUACACUAGCUGAGGAUCUCGCUGAUAGUUUUACCCUCUUCAGUCACGAAAAGAUAUCAAUAUGUGACAUUGCAACUCCAUGCAAACCCAUGGCACCAUUAUACACAAAAGUUCAAUAACAAUGA